rnacentral:sRNA from 1 species
CUUCUUCAAUUUGUUGUGGGCAAAUAAAGUGAAUAUGCGUAUCAAUGCCGCCGGCGGUGACGAUCAUGCCCUCACCUGCAAUAAUCUCAGUGCCUGCGCCAAUCGCUAUGGUCACUUCUGGCUGGAUAUCCGGAUUGCCUGCUUUACCAAUCGCAGAAAUACGCCCAGCUUUAAUACCAAUAUCGGCCUUCACCACGCCCCAAUAGUCGAUGAUUAACGCAUUGGUAAUCACCGUAUCAGCCACAUCAGCAGACACCAACUGCCCUUGCCCCAUGCCGUCACG